rnacentral:rRNA from 1 species
UACAGGGGGGAGCAAGCGUUAUCCGGAAUGAUUGGGCGUAAAGCAUUCGUAGGUGGUAGGUGAAGUCUACUGUCAAAUACCAGGGCUCAACCUUGGACAGGCAGUGGAGUACUCAUUUACUAGAGCGUGGUAGAGGUAGAGGGAAUUCCCCCGUGGAGCGGUGAAAUGCGUAGAGAUGGGGAAGAACACCGGUGGCGAAAGCGCUCUACUGGGCCAAGGCUGACACUGAGGGAUGAAAGCUGGGGGAGCAAAUAGG